UGAGAAGAGGUUGUCUGUGAUGAGUUCGCUUUUAUUAAUGACGAAUAUAACACAGAUGGCCUGUUUUCAGUACCGCUACCGCCCGGUGGUGUGCGGGCGCCAUGCCUGAGGCGGGACUUUCCAGGGUACGUGAAUGCAUGGGCUGGCGUGACAUUUGUCAUCCUUUCCCCUGACCCCCGCCAUCGAAUCAUUUUGGGAGAGCUUUCGGGGGGCCAUGUGGACUUUGGGGAAGAUGCUAGGGUUGUGCACUGUGGUGGGGGGCGGUCAGGAAGCUGAUGAGCAAUGGUGACAGGGCUCAGUCUGUUUUUCAUGGCCAGUGUCAUCGAGGUAAAGGACACGGGGGAGCUAGUCCCGCUGGAAGGCAUCCUGCUGGAAGACCACCCGCCCCUUGCCAGGAUGUUGGGGGCGGCUGCAUGCAUUCCCUGCGCCCGGGCUGCCUUCUGCUCAUCCCAGUGCUGUGAGACCCUGGGUGGGAGCGGGUGCCUUGAGUGGCCGUGUGUGUGUGCUGCUCCUUGUGGUGCCUGAGGAGAGGUGGCCUGUGUUGCAUUACACACAAGACACGAGCGGCCUCUCUUCAGUAUCAGAUCCCACCUGCAUGAUUCCUGCACCUGCUGAUGUCGGAGAGGGCUGGUUGCGCGCCCUGUGGGCCCCCAGAGGCAUGGCUGGUGGCCGAGCACGCGCUUGACUUCCACCUGCGGCCCUGUGCUGGCCUCCACCCUGGAGGCGGGUGGCGGGUGGCAGAGCCCGUCACUGAGGAAGAAGCCUCCUCCCUGGAGUCAGCACUGCUCAGUGGUACCUGAAAUAGGUUGCCUGUGAGGUGUUCACUUUCUAUAUGAUGAAUAUUAUACAGUCAACCUCUUUCCGAUAUCGAAUCCCUUCCUCUUUGCUGCCGACUCCAGGCAGCAGCUGUCUCUGCACUGGUUGACCCUAUGGACUUUGUGUAGGACCUGUGUCACUUGGCCUGUUAAUUUUCCAGCUCCACUCUGUUCUGGAGGGCUUUGGAAGUGUGACGGAACGGCAUCCCCAAUUCCAGUGUCAGCGGGAGCACCCACCAUGCCCUUGCCUCCGGUUGGCAUGUCCCCCAGGCUGGGCUGGCCUUCAGCUACCUGAUGCUUAUGUCAUAUUUGCAUCCCUGGCCUGCCCAGACUACAGAAAGAUGACCAGAGGCCUGUUUGCAGCUGACCUGGAGACUUAGUGACUCCAGAACAUGCUGCCCAUGCCCUGGGUCCGGGGUGAAGGCAAAGAGCACCUCAGGAGUGACCCCAAAGAAUGAGCUAAGGCUGUCCUUUAUCACUCAUUGUUGAUCAGUGAGCUCCUGGGCUCGGGAGAUCUUCUUGAGCUGGGCUCCCAUCAUCCCCUGGUUGAGACAUCGCUGCCUUGGAAGUUGCAGCUCUGUGCCUGCCCUCCCCCUUGUCCUCCUCCUCAGGACCGCUUCUCUCUGUGCCUAGCAUGGGAGUGGGGAUCCCUGGCACCGUCCCUCUGGGCUGGCUGCUCCCACUCUCCCUCAGCACCCCUCUUCCCCAGCCCCUGGGCCACAGCCCUGCUGGAGAGGCCGCCCCACAGGCUAGGCUCCUCUGGCCACUUGGGUCUCCCUCCAGUGCCCCCUCCCUCUGCCAGGGAGAGCAUUUUCAAGUGCAGAGUCCAACUGUUUAACUUCACUGCCCAGGGCGCCUCUGCGGGCCCCUUCCCUCGGGCUUUGUGCCAAAAUGAUCUGAGGACUCCCCGGGCCCCCAGAGUGGCAGCCCCCCUCUUCUUUUGGAGCCACAGCCUAUCCCCCGUGUGUUUUCAUCCUUCUUUCUGGCCUUGCACACACCCCUCCUUCCAGAGCUGAGUCCUGAGUGGCCCUGCUCUGCCCUCGGCUGCCUCCUGUCCAGGUUCCGGCCCUUCCUUCCUUAGAGACCCACAUCCUUUGCAUUUUCCUUUCCCAGGGGUUCACAAUUCCCAAGGAGAUGGAAUGUCUCUUGUUCAGCAAGGUCAUCCCUGAUAACCCUAUAAAAGCAGCUCCCCUUGCCUCUUCCCCAUCACAUUCUACCAGUUGCCCGGUUACUAUUUUCUUCCUAGCUUACGGUUCUUUGAGAUUGCCUAAUGUUAAUGUCUACUUUCUCUGUGCCCUAGAUGGUGAGAUUUCUCAUUGGCAGAAAUUUCUCUCUCUCUCUCUCUCAUCCUCUGCUGUGUUCAGUAGCAGAACAGUGAGUGUUUGUUGAUUGACUAAUGGAGUCCCCAAAGGCAGGGACCGGAUCAGAUGAAUUCCUAGGCAGGUGCUGGGCACAAAGCAGGCAGUCAAUAAGAUGUGGUGAUGGAGUACAUGAAUAUGUUAAUCGAUUUUUAGAAAUUCUUCCCAUUUGUUCAAAGCUGUUUGGUUUUCCAGCUUUUUCUGCUCUUCCAGGAUGAGGCUGAGAUUUGCUGCAGGAGGCACAAGUCAGCUGGGUCUGGGUUCUGUCUUCCACUUUUCAGGGGGUGGGGGCACCAAAGCCCUAGAGGAAGUGACAGGCCCUGUGUUCUCCUGCAGAUGCCAACUGAUCGCGCCCCCGCCCCUCCAGCAAACGCCCCAGCGCUGAGAGCCAGAUGCUCUGGGGAACUCCAUCUGCAGCGGGCUGGAGUGUGGUGUUAGGGCUCAUAUUUUAUGCAUGGGGCUGACUAAAUGGGAACAUUUGGAGAUGAAAAUUGCUGUUAAUGCAUCUACACAUCUUUGGAAUAUAUUAAAUGUGCGUGUGAGGGGGAGAGUGACAUUAGCCUUAUUUAAUAGCUUCAAUAUAACCAUCCCCCCAUAAUGCACACCACGGCAUUAACAGGCACGCCGCCCCCCCCGAGUCUCCCAGGCCACCACUCAGGAAGAGUGCUGGGUGCAUCACCCGCCACUUGAGAAUUAGGGGUGAGUCCAGCGUCAGCCCGGCAUGCGGCAGCGUGCAUGUCCCCCCCCAUUUCUAACCCAAACACAGUGACCCUGUGCCACUUGAUGCAGAAUUUCAUUAAAAGCAAAAAUGAUUGAUUAUCUAUUGUUUGCGGAGAAGAAAAAAUAAACAAAGGGCCUUUCUCAUCAGAUAAGCCAAAUGAGAACGUGUGCCCCCCAGGUGGCCAGGAUUAAAGUCUCCAUGGACCCUUCAGCCAGAGGCUCUGUGACUUGUCCCAUCUCCAGGGCGGUGUGUAAACCCUGCUGCCGGCCCAAGUUCAUGAGGUGUGCUCCCUUCUCCAGUGCAAGGGCCCGGUUUAUCCCCACUAUGUCUCCUGGACGUGGUUGGGAAAUUGAACAACCUGGACCUCCGUGCCCAUUUCCUUGUUAUUUUCAGCAGGAGAUAAGAGAAGUAACAGCUGUCCUGAAGGGGCGCUUGCCUUGGUCCUGGGCCCCAUCAGCUGCUGUGAGGAGACAGUUUCUGUUCCACAGUUGAGGAAAUGGAGCACAGAGAGGUUGAGUGACUCAACCAUGGUCACCCAGCUGGAGGUGGGGCAGGGUCUGGCUCCAGGCUGUGUGCUCUUACUCACCCUGCUUGCAAGGGCUUUAGGAAUAGCCCCUGUGUCCUGGAAGACAGAUUGCUCAUCAAAUGGGCCUCUUUUCUUGGUAUUAUAUGAUGAGGUAGGCUCACUUUCCCCCAGACUUAGCUUGCCAGAAUGUUCAUGGUUUUUUCUCUGUACCCACCCGCCGUCUCUCCAACAUGGUGCCAUCACCCAUGAAGUGAGAUGCUUUGGUGCAUGUCUGGCCUGGGGAGAGGGCUGCUUGCUUGGUCAGAAGACUCAAAGCAUGAUGGGCAUCCAAAUACCAAAGACCUAUGUUGACCUGUGUUUUUCACUCUGCUUGAUGGCAGUUGAGGGCCAUAUUCACUGCCUCGGUUGCAUGGAGUGAACAAGACCUAGUGAAGGUGGCAGGUGCACUGAGACCAACUGGUUGAUCUCUCCUGGGCGGGAGCAGGUGCUCCCCUCACCACCCCCACCCUUGUCUGUGUACCACCACUCUGCACAGACACGUUGGCUGGUGCAGUCCUGGAGACCCACGGAGCUCACGGUUGUCAGGGGUCCUCAAGGAUUCAGAGAACCCCCAAAUGUCAGGGCUGCUCCCUUCUUGUCCUGCCUCUCUGCUCACACCCUUGGACAGGUAAGAAAACUGAGGUCCACAGAGGGGAGGGUGCAUUGCUGUGGCUUUUGUUCUGAGCACUGUCUCCCCAACUUUGGGGUUGAGACUCUGGGGUCAAGACCCACCUCUGAUGAACGAGCGGCUUCCUUCUUUGUAAAAAUGGAGGCGACCCAGACCAAGAAGGGCUGCAAAAUCACCAAGCCAGGACCUCAACACCCAAGGGGCUGGGGUUUUAGCCACCAUGUGGCCGAGCUUUUAGAAGCCAGGGCCCUUGGCUCGGCAGUGCUGGCUUAGAGUAGGUGCUUAGUUCAUGCCUGUCUCCUUGGAUGAAGUCUGACCAUAGACACCAGUGCAAAGCAGGUAUUCAACACAGGAGGGUGUACUGAACCCGAUCUGUCUAUCACCAGGAGGAAGCACACAGGAGGCAGUCAGAGAACGUUUGUGGAAUGAAUAAAUAAAAGCAUAUUUUGAGGGAAUAAAGAAGCAGAAAAACAAAGAAGAAUCCGGAGAAGAUGCGCAUAAAUCUCCACCAAGUGCUGCCAAGGCUUCCCAGCCGAGGCUGCUGAAAAGACCCUGUGGAGCGGCUGCUCUGCCUGGGAUACACACGUUUCAAGAGUCUCAGUUCCCGCUUUGCCACCAUCUUCUCCUCUGAUCUCCUUACCUGCUUCAAAAGACUCCAGAAUCUUCUCGGUUCUCAGAGAAGGCUGAAUCCACCUAUGACCUAUGACCUAGUGGGUGCGUCCUGUGCCAAAAUUGUUUACCUUCUGGUCCCCGGAGCCACGGGUCACGACCUGGUCCUCACGUAGGCCCGCUCCGCAGCAGACCCCAUCUGUGGCUUCUCCCAUCUCACUGGGGAAGAAGGAGAGCCCUGGGGAUGUGGAGAAGCCCCCCCGCCACAUCCCCCACAUCUUACAGAAUCUCCAUUGAGUCCCUGGGGGCACAUCCCUCAGCAGGACAGGAACAGUCUUUGCCGCGGCAUGCCGAGGGCUGUGCUGGGGAUGAGCGCCCAGUGGCUGUGGACUAAGUGAAGGAAAUGACCGUGCUCUUCUCCCAGCUGGAUGGCAAGGCCGGGCAGGAACGGCGGAAUUCCUGCUCUUUGUUUUCAAACACUUUGCUGUCAAGCUAUUUGAAUAAUAAAUACACAUUAUAAAAAUGUAAA